rnacentral:rRNA from 1 species
UACAGAGGUCCCAAGCGUUGUUCGGAUUCACUGGGCGUAAAGGGUGCGCAGGUGGCCAAGUGUGUUAGGCGUGAAAGCCCGGGGCUCAACCCCGGGAGGCGGAUGGAUACUGCUUGGCUCGAGUCCGGAAGAGGCGAGUGGAAUUCCCGGUGUAGCGGUGAAAUGCGCAGAUAUCAGGAGGAACACCGGUGGCGAAGGCGGGUCUCUGGGCAGUAACUGACGCUGGAGGAGCGAAAGCGUGGGAGCGAACAGG